rnacentral:tRNA from 1 species
GGAGGGCUCGCAUAGUGGACUAGUGCGGCGGUCUUGAAAACCGCUGUGGCGGCAACCCCGUCACCGUGGGUUCGAAUCCCACGCCCUCCG